CGGACUUCGGGUCUCGGUGGCAGAGUGGCGAACGGGUGAGUAAUGUAUCGGAACGUGCCCAGUAGCGGGGGAUAACUACGCGAAAGCGUAGCUAAUACCGCAUACGCCCUACGGGGGAAAGCAGGGGAUCGCAAGACCUUGCACUAUUGGAGCGGCCGAUAUCGGAUUAGCUAGUUGGUGGGGUAACGGCUCACCAAGGCGACGAUCCGUAGCUGGUUUGAGAGGACGACCAGCCACACUGGGACUGAGACACGGCCCAGACUCCUACGGGAGGCAGCAGUGGGGAAUUUUGGACAAUGGGGGAAACCCUGAUCCAGCCAUCCCGCGUGUGCGAUGAAGGCCUUCGGGUUGUAAAGCACUUUUGGCAGGAAAGAAACGUCGCGGGUUAAUACCCCGCGAAACUGACGGUACCUGCAGAAUAAGCACCGGCUAACUACGUGCCAGCAGCCGCGGUAAUACGUAGGGUGCAAGCGUUAAUCGGAAUUACUGGGCGUAAAGCGUGCGCAGGCGGUUCGGAAAGAAGAUGUGAAAUCCCAGAGCUUACUUUGGAACUGCAUUUUUAACUACCGGGCUAGAGUGUGUCAGAGGGAGUGGAAUUC
rnacentral:rRNA from 1 species